UAUAUAUAUAUAUAUAUAUAUAUAUAUAUAUAUAUAUAUAAACAACAGAACGAAAAAUAGAAGGAAAGGGGUAAAUAAUUGCAGUGCAAGUAGCCAAGUACGUUGGGUUUGGAGCUCAAGUAUAAUCGUCGUCACUAUUAUCGAGAGGUGAGGCGAGAGUACGUACUAUGUAGGUACAUGAACAAGAGGGCAUGGGCAUGUGAGUGCUCAGGGAUUCAAGGGCUCCUUGACCAAUUGGUAAAUGGUGAUUGACUCCCAUGCAUAUGAAUUCAAAGCAAGAUGCAUCAGAAGCCAGUGGCGUCCCACGUGCCAAUGGUCUCCCUGGCCUUUAUUCCCAGGCCCAUAGCAUUACUCUUAAUUCAGCUGCAUGCAGCAGCAAGCAAGCUGCGAUAUUAUUUCUGGGUAAGAUUGAAGCUUUGUAAUUUUGGUAUUCGAACGCGUGCCCUAAAAGACAGUCUCUGCAAUACGUGUCUUUGUGCCAUGCUUUGACCCACGUGGACUCAACCCGCCUCAGAGAGUGAGAAACUAUAUAUGAUGUGCUCAACUUGCCUUGUAUGUUUUGGUUGUUCUGGAUAAUAGUUUGUUGAGGAAUUAGAACUACACGCACCUCUUGAAUUCCUCUAGUUUGUUUCCUCUUUAGAACUACACGCACCUCUUGAAAAUUGCCUAGCCUGAAUUGAUCUCUGAGAUCAUGCACGACAUCACCAUGAGGUCGCAAGGGCUUUGGUCAUGCUUUUGACUGCGUACAGCGAACUUCGUCUAAAGACUUGUACAUUUGGACAAGGAAUUUCAAAACUUGAUGGAAAGGGCCGGGGUUUCCAAUUUCUUGCAAUAUAUACUAAAUCUCAUCUAGUACCAUGUAAUGUUGGACUUGAUGCUAUCCUCUUGACACAAACUAACAAUUGGUUGUUUCUUCGUGGUACGUAGAGAAACUACUAUGGUAUAUGCUAAUUAAGAGACUCGUAGAGAAACUAGGUCACUAGCUAGUUAUAAGCUAAUUAAGCUGGCAUGGCCAUGAACUUUAUAUGUAUAAGUCAUUUCUACCAAUUUCUAAUCAGCAUUACACUAUCAUGCCAAUUAGUUACACUUUGUGUUAAUAGUAAUCGUCAAAACGUCGAUCAAUACCUAUGAAUUGAAGGUGUGAUAGUGCACCUCUUCCUUCCCUAGCUAGGGCAAAAUCCAAACAGACGCCCUUGGGUACGUCACUACCAAGACAAGCACUUUAGCCGAUCGAUGAAAAAGUUUCGUCGGCCUGUUAGCUUAAUUCGUCGGCUAAGAUCUCGUCGGCUAAGAUUUCGUCGGGAAAAGGUCGUUGGCGAUUUAUUUAGCCGACGAAACAAGAAGACGUUAUCGGUUAUAGUCCCAGAGUUUAACCGACGAAAAACAUGUCGUCGGUUUUUUUCCCAGACUUUAGCCGACGAAACAUUUAAGAUAUUCGUCGGCUAAAGUGUGUAAUAAAAAAUUAAAAAAAUAACUAAAGCCGACGAAAUAUAGUCUGUUUCGUCGGCUUUAGAAGGGUUUAGCCAACGAAACGUGCUAUAAUUCGUCGGCUAAAGCUUAUUAAAAAAAUUUAAAAAUACUAUAGCCGACGAAUAUCUUCGGCUAAAGUAUUUAAAUAUCGUUGGCUAAAGUUGCUGGUUUUUGAAAAAAAAAAAAACUGCAGAAACUUUCGGCCACCUCCAAUCACAACCAAAAUUUGACAGAAUCUUCCUCUCAACAUUUCAAACAACUUUCUACAAGAAGUCGAAGCCCAAUUCUAAGCCUAAACAGGUCAAUUGAAUCAAAAUAUAAAAAUCCUCAAUUUUAAACCCUAAAAACUUCAAAUCUUCGAUUCUCCUCACACACACCGAGUCAAGCUACCAAAUUCUAGGGGAAUGUAGUACUAAUCAAACUCAACUUAUCCAUAUAUAUAUAUAGAACUCACCAAAUGGUGACCUGAGUAAGGAGAAAUUCGAUCGACACCAAAUCCGAACCGGCGGAGUUUUGGAGCUCGAUUUAUCCCUCACGGCGGUGCCACUCGAUGCACCACCUAUCCAGCAAUGAAGUAGAGACGACGGCGAAGCUUUUGGGACAAGUGUGGCGGUCUCCGGUGGCUUGAUGGCAAAGCUAGGCUGAGAAGAAAAUCCUGACUUCUUACCAUCCACCUCUUGUAAAACUUUUAUAUAAAGAACUUUACCCGACGAAAUUCUUUAUUUUCGUCGGCUAAACUCUUUUGAAAAUUUUGGUUGACCGCCAAAAAAAUUUCGACAAUAGCCAACGAAAUCAUAUAUUUUCGUCAGUUUAAAUCCUUUGAAAAUUUUGAAAAUUUUCCCCCAAAUUUGGUUUGCCGCCAAACUUUAGCCGACGACUUUUCAUAUAUUUUUGUCGGCUAAAGUCCUUUGAAAAUUUUCCUCCAAAUUUGGUUUACCGCUAAAAAAAUUUUGACCUUAGCCGACGACUUUUUUAAUAUCUUGUCGGCUAAAGUCUAUAAAUUUACGAAAACGCUCAUAUCUCCCUCUAUAUUACGUAGUUUGGUUAAACCUUCCACACGAAAAACUUUCACGUAGAUAAGACGCAAUCGCCUAUAUAAAAAUUUUGAGACAUUUACCUUCCGACGAUAGAGCUCCCCAUAGGGAAUAAUAACGGUAAAUAAGGUUGACCGCUACUGUCGGCACCGAGACGUUACCCGAUUUACUUGAUUUUUGAACCAUAGCCAUAUUUCACCAUUCUGAACACAUCUUAUUUCACGAGAUUUUUGAUAAUUUUACUUCUUAUGUAGAGUUGGUUCAUAAAGUUGUAUAACCUACUAAACAAGUUAUAUAACAUUAGUAGACACGUUGUGAUUCCGAUGACUAAAAUUUACAAACCAUAAUUCGACCGUCAGAUAUGAUCAUUAUGACGAAAGAUGUCUAUGGUAAAAAAUUCAACUGGAUCCGACAACGUUAAGGGCUUGAUCGAAACGGUCAACCCUAAUCCAUCGUCACUUAUCACACGAAAAUGCUCAUAUCUCCCUCUAUAUUACAUAGUUUGGUCAAACCUUCCACAUGAAAAACUCUCACGUAGAUGAGAUGCAACUGCCCAUAUAAAAAUUUUGAGACAUUUACCUUCUGACGAUAGGGCUCCCCAUAGGGAAUAAUAACAGUAAAUAGGGUUGACCGCUACUAUCGGCACCGAGACGUUACCCGGUUUACGUGAUUUUUGAACUAUAGCCAUAUUUCACCAUUCUGAACACAUCUUAUUUCACAAGAUUCUUGAUAAUUUUGCCUCCUAUGUAGAGUAAACCUACUAAACAAGUUAUACAACAUUAGUAGACACGUUGUGAUUCCGAUGACUAAAAUUCACAAACCAAAAUUCGACCUUCAGAUAUGAUCAUUAUGACGAAAGAUGUCUGUGGUAAAAAAUUCAACUGGAUUCGACAAUGUUAAGGGCUCGAUCGAAACAGUCAACUCUAAUCGGAAAUAAGAAAACUGCCUUUUGAAGCCCUAAACGGACUCGGAUGGCCAAAAAGGCUUAUAUGUCAUGGCCAAGCUAUGAGUUUGACUCGUAGGGCCGUUACGCUUCCGGAAAAGUAUCACAAUAGUCAAUCGGACACCGAACGCCAAAUCUGCAACAUAUCGGGUUUCGACUGUUCUACAUCAGAGACGUUAGCCGAUUUACGUGAUUUUUGAACCAUACCCAUAUUUCUCCAUUCUGAACACAUCUUAUUUCACGAGAUUUUUAUUAAUUUUGCUUCUAUGUAGAGUUGGUUCACAAAGUUGUGUAUUUGUUUAAAACCUACUAAGCAAGUUAUACAACAUUUAUUGUUUUUCUUUUAGCCGACGACUUUUUUCGAUAAUAGCCGACGAGAUUUUUUUUCGUCUACUAAAAUACUUUAGCCGACGAGUAAAAACUUUGGUCGACGAAAAAAAAUUUGGUCGGCUAAAGUAUAGUAUAGCCGACAAAAAAAUUUCUUCAGCCGACGAAGGAAAAUUUCGUCGGCUAACGUAGAGUUUAGCCGACGAAAAAAUAAUUCGUCGGCCUGAUUUUUUUAUUUUCGUCGGCUAAAACAUUUCUUCUGGUAGUGUGCAUUAGUUAGUCACGACACACAUGACUGACACGUGGAAAUUAAUAUUCAGUCUAUCUCGUUUUGUUUGAUGGAAUCUUUUCCAAUUACACUGUUGGUGUCUUACCAGAGUGAAGCCACAUUGAUCGUUCGGGAUUCUUAACGUGGGAGCGCAGCUAUGUUUGAUUGUCUGUUGUCGUGUGCUUGGAAUCUGAUGAUACUGUAGGGAAAAAUGGACGUAAUGAGAAUAGAACAAUGCAUGGAUCCCUAGCUAUCUUCAUCAAGAAGAAAAAUAUAGGAUUCUCUAGCCUAGCUUGUAUAGUCGACGAGAAUAAGCGAUAUUGUCUAGCUCUAUCGGCCUCUUGAUUCGUUUGUUCUUGUUUAAAGUAGGUCUGCAUUUCUCACGAAGAUCGUAGCAGGUGGAUCAAGGUGUUCAGUUAACUUCGUAAGUACGUAACUAGCAGCCAGCUAGUGUCCAGUUUAGCUGGAAUCG
rnacentral:lncRNA from 1 species